rnacentral:rRNA from 1 species
UGAAUACGAGACGCUAAGGCGUCGAAGUAGUGUAUGUCAUACUUCCAAGAAAAGCUUGCACUGUCAUAGAUAAAAAACGCCUGUACCAUAACCGACACAGGUGGGUAGGUAGAGUAUACUAAGGGGCGCGAGAUAACUCUCUCUAAGGAACUCGGCAAAAUAACUCCGUAACUUCGGGAGAAGGAGUGCCUUAUUCGUAAGGUUGCAAUAACAAGAUCCAAGCAACUGUUUAUCAAAAACACAGGUCUCCGCUAAGUCGUAAGACGAUGUAUGGGGGCUGACGCCUGCCCAGUGCCAGAAGGUUAAAGAAGUUGGUUAGCAAUUGCGAAGCUGAUAACUGAAGCCCUGGUGAACGGCGGCCGUAACUAUAACGGUCCUAAGGUAGCGAAAUUCCUUGUCGGGUAAGUUCCGACCCGCACGAAAGGCGUAAUGAUUUGGAUACUGUCUCGGAGAGGGGCUCGGUGAAAUAGACUUGUCUGUGAAGAUGCGGACUACCUGCACCAGGACAGAAAGACCCUAUGAAGCUUUACUGUAACUUGAAAUUGAAAUUGGACUUUAUUCGCGCAGUAUAGGUGGGAGGCGUUGAUUAUAAUCUUGUGGGAUUAUUGGAGCCAUCAGUGAGAUACCACUCUUGUAAUGUUAGAUUUCUAACUUUGAAUCAUUAUCUGGUCAAAGAACAGUUUCAGGCGGGCAGUUUGACUGGGGCGGUCGCCUCCUAAACGGUAACGGAGGCGUACAAAGGUUUCCUCUGAACGGUUAGAAAUCGUAUCUAGAGUGUAAAGGCAUAAGGAAGCUUGACUGUGAGACCUACAAGUCGAGCAGGGACGAAAGUCGGUCUUAGUGACCUGACGGUACUGAGUGGAAAGGCCGUCACUCAACGGAUAAAAGUUACCCUAGGGAUAACAGGCUGAUCUCCCCCAAGAGUUCACAUCGACGGGGAGGUUUGGCACCUCGAUGUCGGCUCAUCGCAUCCUGGGGCGGUAGUACGUCCCAAGGGUUGGGCUGUUCGCCCAUGAAAGCGGUACGCGAGCUGGGUUCAGAACGUCGUGAGACAGUUCGGUCCAUAUCCGGUGUAGGCGUUAGAAUAUUGAGAGGAGCCUUCUUUAGUACGAGAGGACCGAGAAGGACAUACCUCUGGUGUACCAGUUAUCGUGCCAACGGUAAACGCUGGGUAGCUAUGUAUGGAGUGGAUAACCGCUGAAAGCAUCUAAGUGGGAAGCCCACCUCAAGAUAAGUAUUCUCAU